GUUUCCAAGACAACAGCCAUUGCCAGCCAAAACCUUUACUCCUCAAGAAAUCAAGACCAAAACCGUCACUCCUUAAAUGAAAACCUUCAGCCGUCCUUCCAUAAACAAUGGCCACCGUCGAUCAGCCAAAAACAUAGAAAAAUAGAAACCAAAAAACUUUCACAAUGUAAAUUCGAAACUGAAAAUUUGGAGUUUCCUUUCGCCAAUUUCCUUUGGCCAAUUGUUCAC
rnacentral:lncRNA from 1 species